UACGUAGGGUCCAAGCGUUAUCCGGAAUUACUGGGCGUAAAGAGUUGCGUAGGUGGCAUGGUAAGCGAAUAGUGAAAUGACGAGGCUCAACUUCGUGUCCAUUAUUUGAACUGCCAAGCUAGAGAAUAUGAGAGGUAGCUGGAAUUCCCUGUGUAGGAGUGAAAUCCGUAGAUAUAGGGAGGAACACCGAUGGCGUAGGCAGGCUACUGGCAUAUUUCUGACACUAAGGCACGAAAGCGUGGGGAGCAAACGGG
rnacentral:rRNA from 1 species